rnacentral:rRNA from 1 species
AGUGAACGCUGGCGGUAGGCCUAACACAUGCAAGUCGAACGGCAGCACAGUAAGAGCUUGCUCUUACGGGUGGCGAGUGGCGGACGGGUGAGGAAUACAUCGGAAUCUACUUUUUCGUGGGGGAUAACGUAGGGAAACUUACGCUAAUACCGCAUACGACCUACGGGUGAAAGCAGGGGAUCUUCGGACCUUGCGCGAUUGAAUGAGCCGAUGUCGGAUUGGCUAGUUGGCGGGGUAAAGGCCCACCAAGGCGACGAUCCGUAGCUGGCCUGAGAGGAUGAUCGGCCACACUGGAACUGAGACACGGUCCAGACUCCUACGGGAGGCAGCAGUGGGGAAUAUUGGACAAUGGGCGCAAGCCUGAUCCAGCCAUACCGCGUGGGUGAAGAAGGCCUUCGGGUUGUAAAGCCCUUUUGUUGGGAAAGAAAAGCAGCAGGUUAAUACCCCGCUGUUCUGACGGUACCCAAAGAAUAAGCACCGGCUAACUUCGUG